rnacentral:rRNA from 1 species
AGCAAAAAUGGGGGGGUGCAUACACAUGCGAGUCGAACGAUGAACCACCUUCGGGUGGGGAUUAGUGGCGAACGGGUGAGUAACACGUGGGCAAUCUGCCCUUCACUCUGGGACAAGCCCUGGAAACGGGGUCUAAUACCGGAUACUGACCUGCCAAGGCAUCUUGGCGGGUCGAAAGCUCCGGCGGUGAAGGAUGAGCCCGCGGCCUAUCAGCUUGUUGGUGAGGUAAUGGCUCACCAAGGCGACGACGGGUAGCCGGCCUGAGAGGGCGACCGGCCACACUGGGACUGAGACACGGCCCAGACUCCUACGGGAGGCAGCAGUGGGGAAUAUUGCACAAUGGGCGAAAGCCUGAUGCAGCGACGCCGCGUGAGGGAUGACGGCCUUCGGGUUGUAAACCUCUUUCAGCAGGGAAGAAGCGAAAGUGACGGUACCUGCAGAAGAAGCGCCGGCUAACUACGUGCCAGCAGCCGCGGUAAUACGUAGGGCGCAAGCGUUGUCCGGAAUUAUUGGGCGUAAAGAGCUCGUAGGCGGCUUGUCACGUCGGUUGUGAAAGCCCGGGGCUUAACCCCGGGUCUGCAGUCGAUACGGGCAGGCUAGAGUUCGGUAGGGGAGAUCGGAAUUCCUGGUGUAGCGGUGAAAUGCGCAGAUAUCAGGAGGAACACCGGUGGCGAAGGCGGAUCUCUGGGCCGAUACUGACGCUGAGGAGCGAAAGCGUGGGGAGCGAACAGGAUUAGAUACCCUGGUAGUCCACGCCGUAAACGGUGGGCACUAGGUGUGGGCAACAUUCCACGUUGUCCGUGCCGCAGCUAACGCAUUAAGUGCCCCGCCUGGGGAGUACGGCCGCAAGGCUAAAACUCAAAUGAAUUGGACGGGGAA